UACGUAGGGUGCAAGCGUUGUCCGGAAUUAUUGGGCGUAAAGAGCUCGUAGGCGGUUCGUCGCGUCGGCUGUGAAAACCCGGAGCUCAACUCCGGGCCUGCAGUCGAUACGGGCGGACUUGAGUGUUGCAGGGGAGACUGGAAUUUACGGUGUAGCGGUGAAAUGCGUAGAUAUCGUAAGGAAGACCAGUGGCGAAGGCGGGUCUCUGGACAGUUCCUGACGCUGAGGCACGAAGGUCAGGGGAGCAAACGGG
rnacentral:rRNA from 1 species